GAUAGGAAGAUAAAAGGCAUCUUGUAUCUUUUAAAAGACCUAGUUAAUAGGUAUGCUUUAGGAGGGGCUUGCGCCAUAUUAGUUAGUUGGUAGGGUAAUGGCCUACCAAGACGAUGAUGUGUAGCUGGACUGAGAGGUUGAACAGCCACAUUGGGACUGAGACACGGCCCAAACUCCUACGGGAGGCAGCAGUAGGGAAUUUUCGGCAAUGGAGGAAACUCUGACCGAGCAACGCCGCGUGAAUGACGAAGUACUUCGGUAUGUAAAGUUCUUUUAUCGAGGAAGAAAAGCAAAUGGCGAACCAUUUGUUUGCCGGUACUUGAUGAAUAAGCCCCGGCUAAUUAUGUGCCAGCAGCCGCGGUAAGACAUAAGGGGCAAGUGUUAUCCGGAAUUAUUGGGCGUAAAGGGUGCGUAGGCGGUCUAGUAAGUCAGUGGUGUAAUGGCAACGCUUAACGUUGUCCGGCUAUUGAAACUGCUAAACUUGAGUUAGAUAGAGGCGAGUGGAAUUCCAUGUGUAGCGGUAAAAUGCGUAAAUAUAUGGAGGAACACCAGAGGCGUAGGCGGCUCGCUGGGUCUUAACUGACGCUGAGGCACGAAAGCGUGGGGAGCAAACAGGAUUAGAUACCCUGGUAGUCCACGCCGUAAACGAUGAGUACUAAGUGUCGGGUUAAACCGGUACUGAAGUUAACACAUUAAGUACUCCGCCUGAGUAGUACGUACGCAAGUAUGAAACUUAAAGGAAUUGACGGGACUCCGCACAAGCGGUGGAUCAUGUUGUUUAAUUCGAAGAUACCCGAAAAACCUUACCAGGUCUUGACAUGUUUUUGCAAAAUGAUAGUAAUAUCGUGGAGGUUACCAGAAACACAGGUGGUGCAUGGUUGUCGUCAGCUCGUGUCGUGAGAUGUUAGGUUAAGUCCUAAAACGAGCGAAACCCUUAUCGUUAGUUGCCAGCACGUUAUGGUGGGGACUUUAACGAGACUGCCAAUGAUAAAUUGGAGGAAGGUGAGGAUCACGUCAAAUCAGCAUGCCCCUUAUGACCUGGGCUACAAACGUGAUACAAUGGCUGUUACAAAGGGUAGCUGAAACGCAAGUUCUUGGCCAAUCCCCAAAAACAGUCCCAGUCCGGAUUGAAGUCUGCAACUCGACUUCAUGAAGUUGGAAUCGCUAGUAAUCGCGAAUCAGCAUGUCGCGGUGAAUACGUUCUCGGGGUUUGUACACACCGCCCGUCAAACCACGAAAGUUGGCAAUACCCCAAAACGGUAGCCUAACUCGUUUAUUCGAGAGGGCGCCGUCUAAGGUAGGGUCGA
rnacentral:rRNA from 1 species